UAAAUGGAGAGAGCGGGAUGUCCACAGGCAAAAUUGUCGCCAAGAGAAGGAAGGAAGAGCCCCGACCGGCUCUGCCUCUGUGGGGAAAGAGCCUGUUUGCAGCCUCCAAGGAAGCCUGCUGAAUAGCUGUACUUAUCAGGUCCUGGCUGAGCCUUGAGUUGGCAGAGGUGAACCGAAGGAAACUACAACAGACAUACAAGUCACCGCCUCCCACGACAGUCUGGGACUGCCAUUCUGUAAGGGCUCCGGGGUUCAAAGAGACCUGAGAGGCCGGAUGGAGCCCUUCUGCUGGGGUUGCUCAGGGGAGGCUUCUCGGAGGAGAGAGCAUUUAAGCUGGGCGCGGAGGCCUGGGCUGGCAGUGGCAGGGCUCAGCCCACUGAUUGGCUGAUGGAUCUGCAAAAGUUGGAACAUCCAGGGGUGCUAAGUCUGCUGGGACCAAGGAUCUGAAAUGACUUCAUUGCCGAGCUGAGCGUGGACCCUGAAACCUACUUGGUUUGGUAACCUGCACGUUGUACCCAGCUGACAUUGCCCCCACCGGAUAUCCAUGGAACUGGCCAAGCUGGACACUGGGGAGGGACAGGUGUGGGCCGAUGGCCUCUGGACACUGCUUCUCCCACACUUGGGCUGAGUCCUAUGCUGUGAACC
rnacentral:lncRNA from 1 species